rnacentral:lncRNA from 1 species
AUAACUUAGAUACAAUUAUUCAAUAAAAUCCCUUUUUUGUAAUGCUCUUUGGGAUUAUCUAUCAAAAUCUCUCUUAUAGAGUCGUUUGUAUUAGAUCGUCUUUUAAUCUCGCUUUAUGCGUUAUUAAAAAUCUCAUUGAAUCGUUUGGUUAGAAUGAGAUCUAAUCACUCUUCAAAUAGGGUGUAACAUAAUCGUGUUGGCUUGGUUUAGUACUAGAACGAUAUCUAGGUUUCUUACCCUACCAAUUUCUACUUUCGCUCGCCUUGCUCCAUUAGUUGGUAUCAAAGCGGUUCUAUAUAACUUGCAUAGCUUUCCUGGAUACCCAUAGCCAUUUAUACCCCAAUCUAUAUCUUUAAACUCUCGCUCAUUGGGAUCAGCCAGAAGGUAUUUGAUUUUCUUGCGCUGGAGGUCUGAUUGGUAUCGAGUUUCUGACUAGUGAAAAUAUGCAUGUUGCAUAUUUUUCGAAGACUUUUCCACGGCCUUGAGACAGGCAUCCAGGCCAAACUGAAUUCAUAGUGCUGGUGGGACGACAUUGCACGAGGAACUGUUCGAUUACAGAAUGAUGAAUCAUGGUCCAGAAGGAUACUUUUGGCCAUGCUUGGAGAAGAAACCACUACUGUGGUCACCUGGCAAGUUUUAGGCUCAUUAUGGGGCCGUGAAUCUUGGCGAGCUCGGCCAGUGACUUGUGAGGCUUCUCACCCAGUUCCAGUAGGUUUCUGAUCACCGGAUAAGGCCUCGGUCCUGGUGGAAGCUGUUUACGACUUCCUCUGGAAAUGAAACUUAAAGUGUUCACCCAAACCAAUGUGAUUACAAGCCAUAGUAUGAAGCUAAUUAACAAUCUUUGAAAUCAAUAUUUUGAUUUCUCUUUAUUUGAAACUCUCAUCAACACAAUCCUUCACUUUCUUAUCUAGUACCUGGAACCUGCUUUCACUAAAUUUUUGUAAGACAUAACUAAUUAUGUUCAGGAUUCACGCGCCACUUUCUUAUUGGUCAUUUGAGUAACUUUGUCCAUGAAACUCUGAUUGAUGCAAAUCUGAUGUUUAUGAAAAUUCUUAAUUAAAUUCAUCUUUCAAAAAGGCAAUUUGGACUCUACACAUUACAGGUAAGUUGCAUACUUUUGGAAGAUUUUUUCAGUGUUGUUAAGACAGGCAGCCAAACCAAUCCGGAUCCACGUUGCUGGUGGGCAAUGAUUGCAUUGUAACCUUUCAAAUAUUCAAAUUACAGAAAGAUGAUCACGAUUUUAAAGGAUACUUUUUGGCCACCUCAUGUUCAAAAGACCAUGCAGGUUUCCAAAACGGCAUAAAAUUUACCACUGAAUGUUUGAAACGAGCAUUAUUGAACUGUUUUACUUUUGAAUCGAUGAAAAUAUAUUAGGGAAUAUUUGUAAAAUCAUUUAUUAUUGUGUCAUAUUCGUCCUACCCAUUUAACAAUAUUUCUGCUGUACGGCCAAGGCGGAUGUACGGUACAGCAGGAAUAAUUUUUUUUUAAAACCAGAGAGACCCAAAUCCUAAUCAACAAACGCAUACGAUGGUUUAUUUAAAUUAGAUUGUUUAUUCUCACAACACAACUCUCUGCUAUGUUAUUUGUCACAAACAUUAAAUUCUUCAUACGAUGAAUCCUUUAAUUGACAAUAUAUUAAGUUGAUAAUUAAAUAGUGGCCAAUUACCUAAUUAACAAACAUAAUCAUGAAAAUAAUUCAGAGAAUAAACAAAUACCCAAAAAGCAAUAAAACAAUUAAAGCAUAAGAAAGAUCUCACAGUAGUGAUGAAUCAAAGCUUCAUUAUCCUUCAACCAAAAAAAUAGGUUUAGUUCUUCAUAGAGAGAAGAGAAAAGUUUAGAUCUAGGGUUUCUUUCUUUUUCCAAUCUCCAAUCCCCCUUUUUCGCAAUAGAUUCCUCUCUUAAAUACUCUCUCUCUCUUCUCCUCUAGAAUUCUAUUUAAAAUAAAAUACUAAUAUCUGAAAUAUUAAAUUCGUAAUUACAAAAAUAAUCAAAAAUACAAAACAUGUUAAACUAAAAACUGCAGGUCCGUAGUUGACAGCACGCGCCCACGCCUUAUCAACAAAGUUCUUCUGACGCUCAUAAUUUCUCCAAGAGAACAAUCAUCUUUAAACAUCAUCUUAUAGCUCAAUUUUAUCACAAAUCAAUAGAAUUGCACCUACAAAAGUAAACCACAAGUAAAUCAUUAUUAUUAAGUGCAAAACAUCGAUAUUAAGGGAAGUAAACAAUGCAAAACUAGUGCAUAAAUUGCACUCUAACAACUAGAUAGUUGCCAAGAAGAAUGAUGAACAUAUACAGGUAUACAACCAAUGACAAAGCGCUUUAUGGCCUACAACCACCUGGAAAUUCUCUCCUCUGUGGAAGAAACAAAAUUAUGGUAUGGGACUAAGUGGCAACAGGCCUUUUAUAUGAUUAGGCCAAUUCUUUUUUUUUUUUUUCAUAUCGAUGUUCUUGUCUUCAAGCGUCCAAUCAAAAUAAUUAAUAACUGAACCCAAGAUAUAACAUUUUGAUAGCCAACGGUAAACCAGGAUAAAUUUGCCACCCAGCUCCAAAGGGGAUCAACUCAAAAUUUUUUCCUUUGAAAUCAAUAUCUGACCCUAAGAGCCUUUCGGGGGUAAAAUAGUGAGCGUUGUCCAAUAUACUUUCAUAUUUGACAGUAGCCCAAACAUUGACCAAAACUUUUGCACAUUUCAACACUAUGAAGCCCGCGAUUUCUCUAUCUUCUAAGGCUUUGGGGAAGUAAUAAGUGAAUUGCCAACUGUUUCUUCUAGCUCUAAUUUUACCUUAGAUAAAGCCUUUGGAUUUUGGGGAGGUUCCGCCAUUGCCCAUUCCAUUGUAACUGAAGUUGUGUUAGGCCCUGCAGCAAACAAAUCCUGUUUUAUAAACUUUGUUAAUUAAAUUGUAAUUUAUACUAGAAUUUAAGAAAAAGAAAAAGAGAAAGAAAGAGAAAUAUUACCAAAUACAAGUGCUUAAUAUGUUUUUUGCCAACGUGUAAUUUGUACUAGAAAUUAAGAAGAAAUAUUACUAGAAACAAGCUGAUGUAGGACUUUAAUUUAGGUUAACUUAGGACUUUAGAAUUUUUAUUAUUUUAGGGUUUUCUAUUUUAAUUGGAGUCUAUUAUGGUAUGUGAUUUAAUAUUUUUUUUUCUAUUAGAAUUUUUAUUUAAUUUCCCUUUUCCAGUUAACUUAGGGAAGUAGGUUUCCUAUAUUAUAAAGAGAGAGGUCUUAUAAUUAUUUUCAUAACUUAGAUACAAUUAUUCAAUAAAAUCCCUUUUUUGUAAUGCUCUUUGGGAUUAUCUAUCAAAAUCUCUCUUAUAGAGUCGUUUGUAUUAGAUCGUCAUUUAAUCUCGCUUUAUGCGUUAUUAAAAAUCUCAUUGAAUCGUUUGGUUAGAAUGAGAUCUAAUCACUCUUCAAAUAGGGCGUAACAUAAUCGUGUUGGCUUGGUUUAGUACUAGAACGAUAUCUAGGUUUCUUACCCUACCAAUUUCUACUUUCGCUCGCCUUGCUCCAUUAGUUGGUAUCAAAGCGGUUCUAUAUAACUUGCAUAGCUUUCCUGGAUACCCAUAGCCAUUUAUACCCCAAUCUAUAUCUUUAAACUCUCGCUCAUUGGGAUCAGCCAGAAGGUAUUUGAUUUUCUUGCGCUGGAGGUCUGAUUGGUAUCGAGUUUCUGACUAGUGAAAAUAUGCAUGUUGCAUAUUUUUCGAAGACUUUUCCACGGCCUUGAGACAGGCAUCCAGGCCAAACUGAAUUCAUAGUGCUGGUGGGACGACAUUGCACGAGGAACUGUUCGAUUACAGAAUGAUGAAUCAUGGUCCAGAAGGAUACUUUUGGCCAUGCUUGGAGAAGAAACCACUACUGUGGUCACCUGGCAAGUUUUAGGCUCAUUAUGGGGCCGUGAAUCUUGGCGAGCUCGGCCAGUGACUUGUGAGGCUUCUCACCCAGUUCCAGUAGGUUUCUGAUCACCGGAUAAGGCCUCGGUCCUGGUGGAAGCUGUUUACGACUUCCUCUGGAAAUGAAACUUAAAGUGUUCACCCAAACCAAUGUGAUUACAAGCCAUAGUAUGAAGCUAAUUAACAAUCUUUGAAAUCAAUAUUUUGAUUUCUCUUUAUUUGAAACUCUCAUCAACACAAUCCUUCACUUUCUUAUCUAGUACCUGGAACCUGCUUUCACUAAAUUUUUGUAAGACAUAACUAAUUAUGUUCAGGAUUCACGCGCCACUUUCUUAUUGGUCAUUUGAGUAACUUUGUCCAUGAAACUCUGAUUGAUGCAAAUCUGAUGUUUAUGAAAAUUCUUAAUUAAAUUCAUCUUUCAAAAAGGCAAUUUGGACUCUACACAUUACAGGUAAGUUGCAUACUUUUGGAAGAUUUUUUCAGUGUUGUUAAGACAGGCAGCCAAACCAAUCCGGAUCCACGUUGCUGGUGGGCAAUGAUUGCAUUGUAACCUUUCAAAUAUUCAAAUUACAGAAAGAUGAUCACGAUUUUAAAGGAUACUUUUUGGCCACCUCAUGUUCAAAAGACCAUGCAGGUUUCCAAAACGGCAUAAAAUUUACCACUGAAUGUUUGAAACGAGCAUUAUUGAACUGUUUUACUUUUGAAUCGAUGAAAAUAUAUUAGGGAAUAUUUGUAAAAUCAUUUAUUAUUGUGUCAUAUUCGUCCUACCCAUUUAACAAUAUUUUAGUUUAUUUUCUUCACAAGUCAUAUUUUUAACAUGCUUUAAUUUUAUUACAUUUCUUGAAAUUUUAUAGUACUACCUCUAGAAGUGUAUGAUUAUCUAUAGGUGGCAAUUUAGGUUGGCUAAAUUUUUUACACGUUUUCGUUAUAUCUUCUAGAAACUGUGU